CAGGGCAAGAGUCACACUGUGCCAGCCAGGCUGCUGGGGCUAUCCCUGCAAAUAGUUGAGGAUUCCAGGGAGAGGCGCGUGAGAUGGGCCCCCUCCAGAGGAUGGCCAGGAGGUCUGAGGGGAACCACUAGAGUUUGAGAAAUGUUGUCUUAUAAGCCACUCAUUUAAAGACGAAAGCUCCUCUGAUUAGCACUGCUUCUGCUUCCACUCCAGCCAGGCCGUGAGAAAGCCCGAGGUGGUCACUUCAAGAGGCUGCAUGGAAAGAGAGAUCUGUUGGCCAGCUCCUGCCAGUCAGCCAUCUCAGCUGGACAUCUGACAUGGGACAGAAGAAGCCACCUUGAACUUCCAGCCCACUGAGCCUUAAGAUGCUUCUUCUCUUAGCCAAUAUGUAAAUGCAAUAACCUGAGAGACCCCACAUGAGAAUUCAUCAGUUGAACCCAAUCAUGAGAGAUAAUAAAUUAUUAUUUGAAGCCACUAAACUGGAGAGUAAUUUGUUACAUAAAAAAUGAAUAAUAAGAACACUGGACAA
rnacentral:lncRNA from 10 species